UUUGCUUUGAAACAUAAAGAGUCAUUCUACUCAUCUCAGGCUAACUCUGACAAGACACUGAAUCAGCUAUCUCACUGCUGGGGUCCUCGGUUCCUCGGGUCCGAACCUACACAGGUGGACUCAAAUGAGGGACCAAACAUACAUGAACAUGACUCUAAACUACUCCCCAAAAACCCCCUAAAACACCUUAAAACAAUCAUAGAAAACAUGCAAAGGAAGGCUGAACAGGGCACUUUCGGCGGCAGGUUCGGCGGUCGAAAGUCCCUCCAGAGCCGAAACUCAG
rnacentral:lncRNA from 1 species